rnacentral:rRNA from 1 species
GACGAACGCUGGCGGCGUGCUUAACACAUGCAAGUCGAACGGAAAGGCCCUGCUUUUGUGGGGUGCUCGAGUGGCGAACGGGUGAGUAACACGUGAGUAACCUGCCCUUGACUUUGGGAUAACUUCAGGCAACUGGGGCUAAUACAGGCUAGGAGCUCCUGCUGCAUGGUGGGGUUUGGAAAGUUUCGGCGGUUGGGGAUGGACUCGCGGCUUAUCAGCUUGUUGGUGGGGUAGUGGCUUACCAAGGCUUUGACGGGUAGCCGGCCUGAGAGGGUGACCGGCCACAUUGGGACUGAGAUACGGCCCAGACUCCUACGGGAGGCAGCAGUGGAGAAUAUUGCACAAUGGGCGGAAGCCUGAUGCAGCAACGCCGCGUGCGGGAUGACGGCCUUCGGGUUGUAAACCGCUUUAGCCUGUGACGAAGCGUGAGUGACGGUAAUGGGUAAAGAAGCACCGGCUAACUACGUG